ACCUUGCAUAGAUUUUAUUGAAUGCUAAAAGAAUGGAAAUUUAAAAAAAAACUUUUUUAAAAAUAAAAAUUGAAUUUUUUUUAAUUUGUGCAAAAACAAUUAUAUUUAUUAAAGACAAGAAGACCCUAAGAAUUUAAGAUUUUACAAUUAAAAAGUUUUUUUUUAAAAUCUUGAUUGGGGGGAUCAAAAAAUAUUAAUAACUUUUUAAAAUUUAAAUUGAUCUAUUAUUAAUAAACUAAUGAAUUAAAUACUCUAGGGAUAACAGCGUAAUAAUUUUUGAUAGAUCUUAUUGACAAAAUAGUUUGCGACCUCGAUGUUGGAUUAGGAUUCUUUUUUAAUGAAAAAGUUAAAAAAAGAAGUUUGUUCAACUUUUAAAUUCCUACUUGAUCUGAGUUCAAACCGGA
rnacentral:rRNA from 1 species